rnacentral:rRNA from 1 species
UACGUAGGGGGCAAGCGUUGUCCGGAAUUACUGGGCGUAAAGGGCGCGUAGGCGGACAGUUAAGUUGGGGGUGAAAGCCCGGGGCUCAACCUCGGAAUUGCCUUCAAUACUGGCUGUCUUGAGUUCGGGAGAGGUGAGUGGAAUGCCGAGUGUAGAGGUGAAAUUCGUAGAUAUUCGGCGGAACACCAGUGGCGAAGGCGACUCACUGGCCCGAUACUGACGCUGAGGCGCGAAAGCGUGGGGAGCAAACAGG